rnacentral:rRNA from 1 species
CACGUAGGGGGCAAGCGUUGCCCGGAUUUAUUGGGCGUAAAGAGCUCGUAGGUGGUUCGGUAAGUCGGGUGUGAAACCUCCAGGCUCAACCUGGAGACGCCACCCGAUACUGCUGUGACUGGAGUCCGGUAGGGGAGCGUGGAAUUCCUGGUGUAGCGGUGAAAUGCGCAGAUAUCAGGAGGAACACCAGCGGCGAAGGCGGCGCUCUGGGCCGGUACUGACACUGAGGAGCGAAAGCGUGGGUAGCAAACAGG